GCAGGGGUCGCCCAGUCUGGUCAAAGGCGCUGGAUUUAGGCUCCAGUCUGUUUAGUUCGUGGGUUCGAAUCCCAUCCCUUGCA
rnacentral:tRNA from 1 species